UUCUGGCUCAGGACGAACGCUGGCGGCGUGCUUAACACAUGCAAGUCGAACGGUAAGGCCCCUUCGGGGGUACACGAGUGGCGAACGGGUGAGUAACACGUGGGUAAUCUGCCCUGCACUUCGGGAUAAGCCUGGGAAACUGGGUCUAAUACCGGAUAUGAACUCCUGCCGCAUGGUGGGGGUUGGAAAGUUUUUCGGUGCAGGAUGAGCCCGCGGCCUAUCAGCUUGUUGGUGGGGUAAUGGCCUACCAAGGCGACGACGGGUAGCCGGCCUGAGAGGGUGAUCGGCCACACUGGGACUGAGACACGGCCCAGACUCCUACGGGAGGCAGCAGUGGGGAAUAUUGCACAAUGGGCGAAAGCCUGAUGCAGCGACGCCGCGUGGGGGAUGACGGUCUUCGGAUUGUAAACCCCUUUCAGUAGGGACGAAGCGCAAGUGACGGUACCUGCAGAAGAAGCACCGGCUAACUACGUGCCAGCAGCCGCGGUAAUACGUAGGGUGCGAGCGUUGUCCGGAAUUACUGGGCGUAAAGAGCUCGUAGGCGGUUUGUCACGUCGUCUGUGAAAUCCCUCGGCUUAACCGGGGGCGUGCAGGCGAUACGGGCAGACUUGAGUACUACAGGGGAGACUGGAAUUCCUGGUGUAGCGGUGAAAUGCGCAGAUAUCAGGAGGAACACCGGUGGCGAAGGCGGGUCUCUGGGUAGUAACUGACGCUGAGGAGCGAAAGCAUGGGUAGCGAACAGGAUUAGAUACCCUGGUAGUCCAUGCCGUAAACGGUGGGCGCUAGGUGUGGGGUCCUUCCACGGACUCCGUGCCGUAGCUAACGCAUUAAGCGCCCCCGCACG
rnacentral:rRNA from 1 species